rnacentral:rRNA from 1 species
UGGGGAAUAUUGCACAAUGGAGGGAACUCUGAUGCAGCGACGCCGCGUGAGUGAUGAAGGAAUUCGUUUCGUAAAACUCUGUUCUAUGGGAAGAAAAGGACUGUACCAUAGGAGAAAGCUCCGGCUAAAUACGUGCCAGCAGCCGCGGUAAUACGUAUGGAGUGAGCGUUGUCCGGAAUUAUUGGGCGUAAAGGGUGCGCAGGCGGCUUUACAAGUUGGAUGUGAAAUAUUGUGGCUCAACCACAAACGUGCAUCCAAAACUGCAAAGCUUGAGUUAAGGAGAGGUAAGUGGAAUUCCUGGUGUAGCGGUGGAAUGCGUAGAUAUCAGGAGGAAUACCGGUGGCGAAGGCGACUUACUGGACUUAAACUGACGCUCAGGCACGAAAGCGUGGGGAGCAAACAGG